ensembl:lncRNA
AUUUGGGGUUAUUUGGGGCCAUUUUGAGCAAUUUUGGGGUUAUUUCAGGGCAGUUUUGGGGUUAUUUGGGACCAUUUGGGGCAAUUUUGGGGUUAUUUUGGGGCAAAUUUGGGGUUAUUUGGGGGUUAUUUGGGGCCAUUUGGGCCAUUUUGGGGUUAUUUGGGGGCAAUUUUGGGGUUAUUUGGGGGCGGUUUUGGGGUUAUUUGGGGCCAUUUGGGGCAAUUUUGGGGUUAUUUGGGGGCAAAUUUGGGGUUAUUUGGGGGUGGUUUUGGGGUUAUUUGGGGCCAUUUGGGGCAAUUUUGGGGUUAUUUGGGGCCAUUUGGGGCAAUUUUGGGGUUAUUUGGGCUGAUUUUGAAGAUAUUUGGGGCCAUUUCGGGCAAUUUUGGGGUUAUUUGGGGCAAUUUUGGGGUUAUUUGGAGAGAAUUGAGGGCAAAUUAGGGUCAGUUUUGGGGUUAUUUGGGGCAAUUUUGGGAUUAUUUGGGGAUAAUUGAGAGGAAAUUUUGGGCAAUUUUAGGGUUAUUUGGGGCCAUUUGGGGCAAUUUUGGGGUCAUUUGGGGGUAAUUUUUGGGUUAUUCGGUGGCAAAUUUGGGGUUAUUUGGGACCAUUUGGGGCAAUUUUGGGGUUAUUUGGGGUGAUUUUGGGGCAAUUUUGGGGUUAUUUGGGGACAAAUUUGGGGCAAUUUGGGGUCAUUUGGGGCAAUUUUGGGGUUAUUUGCGGGCGGUUUUGGGGUUAUUUGGGGCCAUUUUUGGGCAAUUUUGGGGUCAUUUUGGGGCAAAUUUGGGGCAAUUUUGGGGUUAUUUCAGGGCGGUUUUGGGGUUAUUUGGGACCAUUUGGGGCAAUUUUGGGGUUAUUUGGGGGCAAUUUUGGGGUUAUUUGGGGUGAUUUUGAAGAUAUUUGGGGCCAUUUCGGGCAAUUUUGGGGUUAUUUGGGGCCAUUUUGGGCAAUUUUGGGGUUAUUUGGGGGCAAUUUUGGGGUUAUUUGGGCUGAUUUUGAAGAUAUUUGGGGCCAUUUCGGGCAAUUUUGGGGUUAUUUGGGGCCAUUUUGGGCCAUUUGGGGAUUAUUUGGGGGCAAAUUUGGGGAUUAUUUAGGGCUGAUUUUGGGGCAUUUGGGGGCAAUUUGGGGUUUUUAGGGCCGAUUUGGGGGCAUUUGAGGGCAAUUUAGGUUUUUUAGGGUUGAUUUUGGGGCAUUUGGGGGCAAUUUGGGGUUUUUAGGGCCGAUUUUGGGGCAUUUGGGGGCAAUUUGGGGUUUUUAGGGCCGAUUUUGGGGCAUUUGAGGGCAAUUUGGGGGUUUUUAGGACUGAUUUUGGGGUCAAUUUGGGUCAAUUUGGGUUUUUUAGGGUCGAUUUUGGGGCAUUUGGGGGCAAUUUGGGGAUUUUAGGGCCGAUUUUGGGGCAUUUUGGGGCAAUUUGGGUUUUUUAGGGAUGAUUUUGGGGCAUUUGAGGGCAAUUUGGGGUUUUUAGGGCCGAUUUUGGGGGUAUUUGGGGGCAAUUUGGUGUUUUUAGGGCCGAUUUUGGGGCAUUUGGGGGCAAUUUGGGGUUUUAGGGCUGAUUUUGGGGCAUUUGGGGUUUUCUGGGGGUGGAUUUGGGGCCAAUUCUGGGUCAAUUUGGGGCGGUUUUGGUGCAUUUUGGGGUCAUUUCCCAAUUUGGGGCCAUUUUGGGUCCAUUUCCCCCCAUUUAGGGCCAUUUUGGGGUCAAUUCCCCCAAAUUUGGGUCCAUUUCCCCCCAUUUAGGGCCAUUUUGCUCCCAUUUUCCCCCAUUUAGGGCCAUUUUGGGUCCAUUUCCCCCAUUUAUGGCCAUUUUGGGCCCAUUUCCCCCCAUUUAGGGCCAUUUUGGGCCCAUUUCCCCCAUUUAUGGCCAUUUUGGGCCCAUUUCCCCCCAUUUUGGGGUCAAUUCCCCGAAUUUGGGUCCAUUUCCCCCAUUUAGGGCCAUUUUGGGGUCCAUUUCCCCCCCAUUUAGGGCCAUUUGGGGCCCAUUUCCCCCCAUUUAGGGCCAUUUUCCCCCAUUUAGGACCAUUUUGGGCCCAUUUCUCCCCAUUUUGGGGUCAAUUCCUCCCAUUUGGGGUCCAUUUCCCCCCAUUUAGGGCCAUUUUGGGGUCCAUUUCCCCCAAUUUAGGGCCAUUUUGGGGUCCAUUUCCCCCAAUUUGGGUCCAUUUCCCCCCAUUUAGGGCCAUUUUGGGGUCCAUUUCCCCCCAUUUAGGGCCAUUUUGGGGUCAAUUCACCCCGAUUUGGGUUCAUUUCCCCCCAUUUAGGACCAUUUUGGGGUCCAUUUCCCCCAAUUUGGGUUCAUUUCCCCCCAUUUAGGGCCAUUUGGGGUCCAUUUCCCCCAUUUAGGGCCAUUUUGGGGUCCAUUCACCCCCAUUU